GCUCCGGUGGCCUAGUGGUUAGAGCGUCCGCCUCGGAUCCGGGAGGUUGUGAGUUCGAUCUCCGUUUGAGUCA